rnacentral:rRNA from 1 species
AGAGACAGCAGUAGCCGCGGGAAUACAGAGGGUGCAAGCGUUAAUCGGAAUUACUGGGCGUAAAGCGCGCGUAGGUGGUUUGUUAAGUUGGAUGUGAAAUCCCCGGGCUCAACCUGGGAACUGCAUCCAAAACUGGCAGGCUAGAGUAGGGCAGAGGGUGGUGGAAUUUCCUGUGUAGCGGUGAAAUGCGUAGAUAUAGGAAGGAACACCAGUGGCGAAGGCGACCACCUGGGCUCAUACUGACACUGAGGUGCGAAAGCGUGGGGAGCAAACAGGAUUAGAUACCCCUGUAGUCCCUGUCUCUUAUAA